UACGUGGGGGGUAAGCGUUGUUCGGAAUUACUGGGCGUAAAGGGCUCGUAGGCGGCCAACUAAGUCGGACGUGAAAUCCCUCGGCUCAACUGAGGAACUGCCUUUGAAACUGUCUGGCUUGAGGCCGGGAGAGGGUAGCGGAAUCCCCAGUGUAGCGGUGAAAUGCGUAGAUAUUGGGAGGAACACCAGUGGCGAAGGCGGCUACCUGGACCGGUUCUGACGCUGAGGCGCGAAAGCGUGGGUAGCAAACAGG
rnacentral:rRNA from 1 species